CCCCUCCUGCGCCUCCAUAUAAACCCCACCCAGCCGGCCCCUAGCGCAGACGGCGACGAGCGGGCUGGAGCGCGCCUGGCCUCCGCGGGCCUGGGCCGCCGCUCCCCCGAAGACUCCGGGGCGCCCACGCGAGAACCUCCCCAGCCAGGUUCUCUCUUCAGGGAUGACAUCACCAUUCACCUCCUCGUCUUCAAGGACCACCUGUGGAUGCCCAGCUGAUGCCAAGGUGUUCACUGCUCAUCUCCACCGAAUGAAGACAUCAGGAGCAGCCAUUUUUGGAUCCCACCCGCACACCAAGCAGCCCCUGACCGAGACCCCCCAGGACCAGGACCACUGAGGCCCAAGAGGACCAGAACGGACCAACCAGCUGCUCCUCUGGGCGAAAGACUUAGUCCAAUGCCCUAGUGAGGGGGCAUUGGGCGUUAACCCCUGACCUCGGCUAUGCUUGUGCCUAUUGCUUACGAAUACUUUCCUGUAAGUCUUUGCUUGUGUUAAUGCGCCAGCGACCUGGAGUGUUCCCCUUCCCAAGGAGGUGUCAGCGUUUCUCCGCUGACCCUAUUGUUGCCCGGACGAUGUCCUGAAUUAGAAGGAUCCCUUUGGGAACUUCUCAGGAGGGGGACCUGGGCCACGGGCUCCGCCAGCCUCUCCCUGGUAAUUCCAAAGCCGUGGUGGGCUUGUGGAAUGCGCAUGAGCUCUGACGUCAUGGGCGUCCCUGCCCUGUUUUUUUUUUGGGGGAACAGCAUGAGAAGAGCAGCCUCCUAGGGCCGUUGUGAGUAUUAAAUGAGCCAAAUUCGCCGGGCGCAGAGGGGUGUUCAGCCAACGUUUGUUGAAAGUCUGGCAGGUCAGCCCCUCCUCACCAGUGUCACUUGUCUUAACGUCUCUUGUUUAUUUUCCCGCAGCGCUCCGACAGCCCCUGCCCGCGGGGUCUGCGGCACAGCCAAGCUUCUCCAAAGGCCUGUCUCCACUUGCUGUCUUCCUUCCUCACCUCCAAUUUCCUCUCCAGCCCACUGCUUCCCGCCUUCUCCACUCCGCCGAGCGGCCUCCGACUUAAGGUAAUGAGUUUUCUGUAGCUCACACCUGGACAGCUCCAGCUCACAGGCACACGGACACAUUUCCAGGCUUCCUCCUGACACGCACUCCCUCUAGACACCACAGGGGCACACCCUUUCUUGUAAGACCUCACGUAGCCAGAGCCCCGGGCUUCUGGAACUUGCCUCUCACCCAUCUCCCCUUGGGGUUGAGUCCUGGCUAACCCACCUCGUUAGUUAAGCUGAGUUCCCACGGUAGGUUAGUUUCUCCAAGCCACUUUUUCUCAGUUGCAAAAUAGGAUCAAUCAUGUUCACCUGGCAGGUCCGGAGAGAACCGUCUCGCAGGUAAGAACCAGACUCUCUCUCGGAGGGACUUGAAAUAAGCUCAUGAAAGUAUUGGUGAGAAAAUUCAAUUAGAGUCACCAUCAGAUUUUCUUACAGGUAGCGUUCUCAUGGGGAGGACCACAGAGAGAAGAGGUGGAGGGGAAGGGGGAGGAGAGAGAGGUGGGUGGGGAGAGAAAGAAAAGAAUGAGAAAAGGCCCCAAAGACAAUGCAAGCAGGGAAGGGGACUUAGAAAAUAUUAACACGGACGGAAAGCACAUCCAGGGGAGGGUUUCCUGCAGGGUCGGGGUUGGGCUAAAAUAAACAGGAAAAGGGUUUUAAAUGAAUGGUCCCAGUAGCACGUCCCAGGAAGCUUUCAAAUCAAAUUGCCCCGUUUUUGGGGGUUUUAACUCCUAUCGAGUUUAACCUCUUUUACCCGCCUUCAUCCCGGCUGAACCCCCCCCCCCCCGGCCCCUUUGCUGGUGAUUAAGUCCUGAAGGUACACAUGGCCUUACAGAGAACUGAAUGGCCAACAGGAAGGGCCCUGCCCCUCCCCCAGCCGUGUUUUUCAGUCUCCUUGCACUUUCCGCCCUUUUCCCCUAAUGAACACGGGCCUGGGCUUGGACCUUGUCAAGGAAGAGGCUGCGGACGCUAAUGAGGGAGCUGCUGGGCUCCAGGGUUCCUCCGAGGGGGCCUUCUUUGUCUGAGGAGGAAAAACACUCUGAUUAUCGUAAUGAGGUGGACCGGCGUCUGCAGGGCAGAGGCGAGGGUCCCAGAGGCGAGGGUCCCUGGUAAUUUCGGGGGCCGGGGCCCAGUUUUCCUUUGCUCCUCGUUGAAGCCUUGGCAAGGCCCAUGGAGCUGGGCAGACCGUGGAAGGAGGCGGCUGUGGGGACAGGCCUGCUUUCCAGAAAGUUCCUUUGUUGGGCCCGGCGGGCAGAUCAGCUGCACGGGGCCGGGGCUGCCUGCCUGCGGGAUUCACUCUCAGAGGACGACACUGGGGUGCAGGGCUCCCACUCCCAGCAUGCACCUCACUGGUUUCAGCAUCCACCAGACAAGAAAAGCAUGCCACGUCCCAGGUGUAGGACCCGUGGGAUUCACACAAAGGCACCCCCUCCCCCGGGAGGGCAUGGUUUGGGGUUAACAUGUUGGACCCAUUUUAAUUAGUAGAAAACGUUCCCCUCUUCCCAAGUUAGCAAAACCAGCUCUCCUCUAGCCCCCCAAUCAAAAGGGGGAGGCCCUGCCUUAGAGGUGACCCACGAGGGGGACAGAAUAGAACUAGAGGAAAAGAGUAGAACAAUUUCUGGUGUUUCUACGGGAGAGGAUACAUUUUAAAUAGAGAGGGAAAUAAUCUAGAGGACUCUUCCCACCUCAAAUUCAUACUGGUCAUUCACACGCGAGCCCAAGGUCACCAGUAGUUCAGCCUUGGCGCACCUGAGGAGGGGUGGGAGGCAUUGGUUGGCCAGGAUCUUGGGGGUUUGUGUUAUUCCUGGAGCCCCCGACUACCUGGCCCUCGGGGAAACUGGCUCCCACAUCCCCUCCUGGCCAACUGGUCUUCGGCUUUUCACCAGCAAGGGGGUCCGAGCUCAUGGCUCCCUUGAGCGUAGGGGGCCAGUGGGACCCUUCGUCCCACUCUUCCAGCUCAGAGGUCUUGGGUGACUCUCUGGGUUGACCCUUGACCUCCAGAGCCCACUCUUGCAUCCAUCCUUCAGUCAGCCUUGGCGGAAACUAGAGGAUGAGUAGGAUCUAGAGAUGCUCCGCCUUCUCCAGCUGUUCUCCGCUCUGUUUUCUGUUUUCACUUGUUCCCACCUCUGUUCUUCACGCCCCCUUCUCUCCUCCCUCCCUUCUGCCCUCCCCCCCCCCCCCCCCGCCACUCCCUAACCCAGUGUUCUGGGGGCGUGCCCUAGGCCAGCCCACAUCUCCUUUGGGUGUCCCAGCACCCGCCUGGCAUACGUGGGGCUCGGUAAAAGUAUGUGGGAUGUCGGUUUAGCUUGGGCAGGUGAGUCAAUGAAGGGCCUCGGCUGUGCUAGCGGAGUCGCAGGGACGCUAGGAGGUCACGUCUAGAUCCAAAGGGCGGAGAGCGGAUUUCGAUUUAGGGGGAGGCGGGCACCCCAGCUUGAGCAGGGGCCUUGCCAGUCUUGCCCCUUCAUUCACUCACGCGGCCAACCCUUCAUCCAACAGUUGAUCGUUGCUGAGUUAGCCCAUCGCCCGGCUGGUCCUAGCACCCGCCACGAUAGCCGGUCCCUUGAUGGCCUCUGCCCUCGGGAGGGCGAGCCGGGGGGUGUCACUGCCAAGGGCGGCCGUUGGCCUACCAUACUGGCAUCGAGACAGCUCUGUAGAAGGCAGGACAGGGGGACUGUGCGAGGGGCUGGCCUGGUUUGCCGUUGGGCCACGUGGCCGGUAACCUUGACGUAGCCAGCCCCUCCUGCCCUCUCUGCCGCCCCCGUUCAGCCAGUAGCUGAAUGCACCCCGGAAUGUGGUAUGUGUACCCUUGGGCUCUGGCCACAUGGUCUCCCUCUUGAGUUGGGGGUCCCUGAGCUGGACCCCUCCCUCCGUGAUACCUGCCUCCAGCCUGGAGCUAACUCUAGCUCCUUUCUUUGGCUGGGAACCUCCAGGGAGCUCCGCAGGCGCUGCCUCUGCUUGGCUGCCUACCUGUUUGCUCUACCUGGCGGCUCCUCCCCUGCUCUGUUGCCCACUUGAGUUCUGCUUUGCCCCUUCUCUGUGCCUGCCUCCCCCUGUGGGCCUCGGCUGCUCGCCCCCUGACUUACAUGGUAGCUACCUGCCCCUGCUGCUCCGCCACCCACCUUUCACCUCUGGCCCCGCUGCUGGGGUCCAGACACCCCUCCGCCCAAGGAGCCAUUUCUGCCCCCUGCUGCCCAGGUUGCUAACAGGCCCCCAGAGCCUAUGGGACAAGCCCCUGCUGGCAUGCUACCUCCCGCAAACAUCCUCAAAUGCCCACUCCCCUUUGCCUGGCUGCCCAGGGUCUGCCUGACCUUCAGUCCUGUCUCCUUCCCUCACUGCUCCCUUGUUGUACCCAAGCAGGUGUCCCCAUGGCCCGCCCCGCCCCAGGGAGUCCCUGGCCCUGCUCCCCUCACGCCACCCCGAGUCUGCAGUUGGUUUGGGAGCUGCCACCCAGGCCUUUGGUUUUUCCCAUGGCCGCUCAUUCUCACGAGCCACCUUGAGACCCAGACUUCUGGUUGACCCAGGGCCGGGUCAGCUGAAGACCUGACGGAGGAGCCCCCGAGGACAGCGCCCUGGACCAAGCCCUCCUUCCCAACAUUCUCCGUCCUGGGACGAAGCCAUCGCCCGGAACUCGUCGUGGGACCUCGGAUGAGCGCCCCCGCAUCCUCUACCCGGAAAACCGAGAGUUGAGCAAGUUUGCCAGGGGCUGUGUUUGUGUGUCAGUCAUCAGCCUCCACAGCCACGGGGACGCCCUGCACACAUCCCCUCGGGACAGGCUGGACCCAAAGACUCUGGACCCGACUGCCCCCUGCGAUAGCCGCCCACCCUUUGCGGAUGGACUUCUCUGAGCUGAGGGUCAGACACGUGGGCUUGACCCCUGCCCACACCUUACAAACCCUGAGACUCAGGGGACUGGCCAUGCCUUCGACAUCCGCAUCUGUGAAAUGGGCCCUGCAACCUACCUCACAGGGUUGUUGUGAGGAGCCUGUGAUGUGGUCUGAAAGUGCCCAACCUGGGGCUUGGCACACCCUAUUGUGCCGUCAAUAAAUGUCUUUUUUGCCGUAAC